AAACUUUUUUCGAAAGAAAAAAAAUCUGUUCUUAUCAGUUUAAUAUCUGAUAUGUCCCCUAUUUGGGGACCAUAUAUUAAAUUGAUUUUUGGAUCUGGGAGAUGGAAUAGGGGCUUGCUCCGUCCACUCCAUGCAUUGACCUGGUAUUGCAGUAUCUCCAGGAAUGGUGCACCCCCU
rnacentral:snRNA from 1 species